AUUCUAUUGACUACAUAGAACUGCACCAACGGAGAGAAUUCACCUGUGAACUAGCAAAGUUAUGGAAGUCUUCCUGGAACAGGCAAAACCUGGGGUAUAGCCCCCUCUAAUUCUUGUUAAUACAGCAUGAAAAGAUCCAGACUACAUAUGCCUAAAGCAGAGCUUCCUGGGUUUUGCUUUGGAAACACAGAGCAUGGGACUCUGGCGAGAGAACAUCUGUGAGGUCCCUUCUGAUGGAUGUAUAAGGGAAAUAAAGCCAGCUUUAACAUCUUUCUUGCCUCUGGGCUGAGAUCUGCUGAGGCAGUGGGAGCAAUCUUUGUCCAGGACCAUUUUACCCACGUGAUCAAGAUGGCUGGGCUGGGUCAGAACUGAGGAUUCUAAUCAGGACCCAAAGUGGAUAGGUCUGGAGAAAGCCACUGUCGUAAGCCGCCAGAGGCCCCCAGAAGCUAAAGUGCCUCCACAAGAAUGGAGGAAUAGAGAAAAUGGAAUUGACCUGUAAAGAAAAGGAGACAUAUGAAAAGAAUGGUUAUAUCCCAUCAUUUCUGCUUCCAGAUGAAUUCCAGCUCUGCCACUGCUAAGGAAAUGAGGGGAGGAAAAGAACCUGGGGGCUGGUUCCUUUGCUUCAUACAGAA